rnacentral:tRNA from 1 species
CGGGGUAUAGCGCAGUCUGGUAGCGCGCCUGCUUUGGGAGCAGGAUGUCGGGGGUUCAAAUCCUUCUACCCCGACCA